rnacentral:rRNA from 1 species
CACACCCUAAACGAUGAAUACUAGAUGUUGGUCUUUUUUAAGAUCAGUAUCCAAGCUAACGCAUUAAGUAUUCCACCUGGGAAGUACAAUCGCAAGGUUGAAACUCAAAGGAAUUGACGGGGGCCCGCACAAGCAGUGGAGCAUGUGGUUUAAUUCGACGCAACGCGAAGAACCUUACCUAGGCUUGAAACGCUGAUUAAUCCUGAUGAAAGUCAGAGUGCCGCAAGGCGAAUCAGUACAGGUGC